UACGUAGGGUGCGAGCGUUAAUCGGAAUUACUGGGCGUAAAGCGUGCGCAGGCGGCGGCUCAAGUCAGGUGUGAAAUCCCCGGGCUUAACCUGGGAAUUGCGCUUGAAACUAGGUUGCUAGAGUGUGGCAGAGGGGGGUGGAAUUCCACGUGUAGCAGUGAAAUGCGUAGAGAUGUGGAGGAACACCGAUGGCGAAGGCAGCCCCCUGGGUCAACACUGACGCUCAUGCACGAAAGCGUGGGGAGCAAAAAGG
rnacentral:rRNA from 1 species